rnacentral:RNase_MRP_RNA from 1 species
GUUCGUGCUGAAGGCCUGUUUCCUAGGCUACAAGCGGAGGACUUGUUCCUCGUCUCUUUGCCUAGGGGAAAGUCCCCGGACCUUGGGCAGAAAGUGCCACGUGCUCACGCGCGUAGACUUUCCCCGCGCAUCACACCUAGCCCGCCAAGAAGCUUCCCCGUCCCUCGUGGCGGGGAGCCGAGCGGCGUGUGGCGGGGCGUCGUCCGUCAACUCUCCUAGUGACGCAGGCAGUGCGUGUGUGCGCACCAACCACACGGGGCUCAUUCUCAGCGCGGC